UACAGAGGGGGCAAGCGUUAUUCGGAAUUAUUGGGCGUAAAGGGCGCGUAGGCGGCCUGACAAGUGGAAGGUGAAAUCCCUCGGCUUAACCGAGGAACUGCCCUCCAAACUGUUUGGCUUGAGACCGGGAGAGGUGAGUGGAAUUCCCAGUGUAGCGGUGAAAUGCGUAGAUAUUGGGAGGAACACCAGUGGCGAAGGCGGCUCACUGGUCCGGAUCUGACGCUGAGGCACGAAAGCGUGGGGAGCAAACAGG
rnacentral:rRNA from 1 species